rnacentral:rRNA from 1 species
AGUGAACGUUGGCGGCGUGGAUUAGGCAUGCAAGUCGAGCGAGAACCGUAGCAAUACGGGGACAGCGGCGAAAGGGACAGUAAUGUGUAGGUACCUACCCCGAGGUCUGGGAUAGCUGCGGGAAACUGCAGGUAAUACCGGAUAAUGUCUUCGGACCAAAGGUGUGAUUCCACCUUGGGAGGGGCCUGCAUCCUAUUAGCUAGUUGGCGGGGUAAUGGCCCACCAAGGCGACGAUGGGUAGCGGGUGUGAGAGCACGACCCGCGUCAUUGGGACUGAGACACUGCCCAGACACCUACGGGUGGCUGCAGUCGAGGAUCUUCGGCAAUGGGCGAAAGCCUGACCGAGCGACGCCGCGUGCGGGAAGAAGGCCUUCGGGUUGUAAACCGCUUUUAGCCGGGACGAAAGCUGUACGGAUAACACCCGUGCAGGUUGACGGUACCGGCGGAAUAAGCACCGGCUAACUACGUGCCAGCAGCCGCGGUAA